AGAGUUUGAUCAUGGCUCAGGACGAACGCUGGCGCGCGUGCCUAAUACAUGCAAGUAGUACGCUGAAGACUGGUGCUUGCACUAGUCAGAUGAGUUGCGAACGGGUGAGUAACGCGUAGGUAACCUACCUCAUAGCGGGGGAUAACUAUUGGAAACGAUAGCUAAUACCGCAUGACAAUUAAGUACUCAUGUACUAAAUUUAAAAGGAGCAAUUGCUUCACUAUGAGAUGGACCUGCGUUGUAUUAGCUAGUUGGUGAGGUAACGGCUCACCAAGGCCACGAUACAUAGCCGACCUGAGAGGGUGAUCGGCCACACUGGGACUGAGACACGGCCCAGACUCCUACGGGAGGCAGCAGUAGGGAAUCUUCGGCAAUGGGGGCAACCCUGACCGAGCAACGCCGCGUGAGUGAAGAAGGUUUUCGGAUCGUAAAGCUCUGUUGUUAGAGAAGAACGGUAAUGGGAGUGGAAAAUCCAUUACGUGACGGUAACUAACCAGAAAGGGACGGCUAACUACGUGCCAGCAGCCGCGGUAAUACGUAGGUCUCGAGCGUUGUCCGGAUUUAUUGGGCGUAAAGCGAGCGCAGGCGGUUAUUUAAGUCUGAAGUUAAAGGCCGUGGCUCAACCAUGGUUCGCUUUGGAAACUGGAUAACUUGAGUGCAGAAGGGGAGAGUGGAAUUCCAUGUGUAGCGGUGAAAUGCGUAGAUAUAUGGAGGAACACCGGUGGCGAAAGCGGCUCUCUGGUCUGUAACUGACGCUGAGGCUCGAAAGCGUGGGGAGCAAACAGGAUUAGAUACCCUGGUAGUCCACGCCGUAAACGAUGAGUGCUAGGUGUUAGGCCCUUUCCGGGGCUUAGUGCCGCAGCU
rnacentral:rRNA from 1 species